AAAAAAAAAAAAGACCCAAAAAUCGGGACUGUCCCUAUAAAAUCGGGACAUCUGGUCACCCUAAUUUCCACUGAUGAAGAAAAUUGAGGCUAUGCAGAACAGGCCAACUCUCCAGACAAUCACAGAUGUACAGACAGACCAGGCAUCCCUGCAAUGGCUUUUCAGAUUCAGGAAUCAUGAAGGGGCUCUUUGGCAAAACUGUAGUGCUAUGAUUUCAGUGACACACAGGUCUGGGCUCUAGCAUGGUAAUGCUGAUGUCUUGUUUGGUUGAUUACAGAUGCUGCCCCAAGCAUUAUAGCAAGGAAUUGGCUUUUCAAAGGAAUGUGUAUGCUAAGGAGGAAAUGAAUUCAAGGCUUCCCCAAGAGAGAAUUCCAAUAUUGGAAUAGUAUGUGAUUGGAAAAUCAUUUGGCACAUGCAGCCACUGUGGCGUAUAGUAUCCCCCUCAAAAUGCCACAGUGGAAGUUUUUCAGGUCCAGUGAGAAAUCUUUGAGUUUAAAGAUGAGAUGGGGUUGUGGGGAGGGAGAAGCCCAGGCGUGAUGGAUACAGGUAUCAGCUAGUUGUACCAGAUACAUUGAAGGAGGUUCUGAGGUUGUAAUGACUCUAAAACUGCUGAAGAAGAACUCUGGGUAAACUUGAAAUAUUGUCUUUCAGUAACAGUAUCUUUUAUUGAACCAACUUCUUACUCGCUCACCUUUCGUCUCUUCUAUCCUGGGACCAAAAUACCAGCACUGCCAACAUCUAAAACUGCUGGACCUUUUGGGAUUGCAAAGACCAUAGCCAAGCUAAGAGAAUGCUUUUAUUCAGUAAAAUGCAGGCAGGAUGUAGAAAAUUGUGUGGGGAAAUUUGAUUCAUGCAUUGUAAAGAAGGAUCCCCGUAAGACCAGGAGAGCCUCUCUGCACCGGUGGAAUGCACUGCUGUUGAUAGACUGGUAGAGGCCCAACUAUGUCUCAGGCAAUCAGUGUUUGUUGGUAGCCAUAGACUACUUCACAAAAUAAAGCUUACCCAAUAAAGAGCCAAGAGACUGUGAAAGAAGCAGAAGUUCUAGUGAAUGGAUUCAAAGUUUCUCUUUUGGUCUGUGAACAACUCACCUGAGAACCCAAAUAUAGUGAAGAAUUUAAAGAGCUUCUCAAAUCUCCUGUAACACUCUUUAGGGAUCCACAGUAUCUGCACCACUCCGGCACACCCACAAUCUGCUGGAAUGUUGGAAAGGUUCAGUUGAACUUUGGGAGUUCAGCUGGCUAACUUUUUUUUUUUUUGUAGAACAUUAUCAAAUGGAUUUGGGCCAACAUAUCUCAUUUCUUGUGAUGGCUUAUAGAACACCAGUCAAUGACUACAAAGUGGACCCCAGCACUCCUCAUGUUUUGGUAUGAGCCAGGGGUCUCCACAAACCUCUUGUAUGGAAUUACUGAAGAGGAACAAAGGAAUUUGGACUACGCAGAAACCUUACAAUCCAAAAUUGAAAAAGCUCACACCUCUGCUAGGAAAAAUGGGACGAUAGCCACUGAUGCAAUGAAAAGAUUCUAUGAAUAAGGUCCUAUGGAGAAACUUUUAAGAGGGGUUCAUUCCAUGAUCCUAGAAGAAAGGAUAGGAGACCAAAGUUGAAUAAAUCUUGGAGGAACCUUAUUACAGUACUGACUCUCUCAAACAAAGUGGUGAGUAGGAUAGAGUCAGGUCCCAGGAUUUAAUCAAUGUUAUUCAUAAGGACUAUCUGAGAGGGUAUCAAGAUUAGGGAUUUCUGUGUAGAUGUCCCCUGAGACUGUAGCUGUAGAAACUGAAGUUUUAAAAGCAGUGACAGUAAUGGAUUCCUCAUUUGGAUGGCGACUGGCCAUUCCAUUCCAGUUAGCAGAUUUCUCCAAAACAACACAUUUGUCAGAUAGGGCAGGGAGAGAAACUCGAUCUGAGAAUAAAACCAAUUUGGGGCCAGUGAUAUGAAAAGUCUCGACAAACGCUAUGUAUAUAAUCUUGUAUCAGUUAUAAAUUUGUAAACAUUUUUCUGUUUCUGAAAUGGGUCAUUCAGGAUGCUGGAUAGAAUUCACAGGUUGGUGUGAUGCAGGGAUGGGGUGGGGAGAAUUAACUCUCAUUGAUGCUUUUGGGCAUAAUAGCUAUCAGUCAGGAGACAGGUAAAAAGACCAUCAAGCUCCUUUUGUGGAAUAGAUUGCUGAAACAAUAGAAGCCACUAUUCAAAACACAAGCCAUGCAAGACCAAUCAGAAACUGAGUUAUGGGGGCAGAGGAGUUUUUUACUGAGGGUUGAUUUGAUUGCAGCUGCAUGUGAAAAGCCACAAGAAACACACAAAAGAAACAGAGGCCCUGUAUACACUGGCAAGUUUCUGCGCAGUAAAGCAGCUUUCUGCGCUGUAACUCCCAAGGUGUGUACACUGACAAGCCACUUAGUGCGCAGUUGUAGCGCUCUGUGUGUGGUGUGUUGUGGUUUGUGGGGUGUUUUUUUUAAACCAAACAAACCCCACCCCAAUGAGAGGCAUACAACUUUCGGUGCCAGUGUAGAUGUGGUCAAUUACAGAGCUGCAACUGGCCUCUGGGAGGUAUCCCACAAUGCCUGUUCUUGCCUCUCUGGUCAUCGGUUUAAACUCCACUGCCCUGCCCUCAGGUGACCAACCAUCAUCCCCACCCCAUAAAUUCCUUUGGAAUUUUGAAAGCCCCCUUCCUGUUUGCUCAAUGACGUGUGCAGUGGUCUCAGCACAUCUUUCCAGGUGGCCAUGCUUGCUCCAUGCAUCAGGCGAUUCCCUCCUUCGAGCUUUUGAGCUGCUGGACCUUAUCAGCAUUUGGGGAGAGGAAGCUGUGUCCAGUCCUAGCUGUGCUUCAGCCAUAGGAAUUAUACCACCUAUGGGCAGAUUUCAUGAUGCAUGACAGAAAGGGGCCAUGACUGAGACACAUUGCAGUGCAGGGUCAAAGUGAAGGAGCUGUGGAACAAGGUGUGGGAAGCAAACCAUUGUUCCAGUGUUGCACCCACGAGCUGCCGGUUCUACAAAGAGCUGGAUGCCAUACUCGGCAGUGACCCCACUUCCACUGCGAGAGCCACUGGAUACUUCGGAGGCUCGUGUGCCAGUCUAAAGUGGACCAAGCCAGGAGGAAGAAAUCUUGCACGAGGAGAGGAAGGGGGACCCAGAGGCAGAGGAUGACUCAGAGGUCCGAGUUGCAUGCAGCCAGGAGCUCUUUCCUACUCCAGAGGAAGCUAGCCUGUAACAGCUAUCGGAUGCUGGCGAAGUGCAAACAGGAGAGGAGGCCCCUGACAAUACUGCUUCUGUAAAAUGUUGCGUUUAAACUUCAGAGAUGACCUUGGGAGCCCAGCCUCCCUCUCUGUUAUCGGCAGCUGAACGGCUGCACAGCAUUAGAAAGCGACGAAGAAGAUCUCGGGAGGAAUUUCUGCGUGAUGUUAUGAUACACUCCGCCACUGAGAAACAGGAAUUGAAGGAGUGGUGGGACAGCGAGAAGAGAGACCAGAAGGAGAA